GCCAGGCCCAAUGGCAGGCUCCUGUAGUUGCAGCUACUUGGGAGGCUGAGGUGGGAGGAUCACUCGAAUCCAGGAGUUCUGGGCUGCAGUGGGCUAUGCUGAUCUGGUGUCUGCACUAAGAUUGUCAUUAGUAUGGUGACCUCCUGGGAGCAGGGAACCACCAGGUUGCUUAAGGAGGGGUGAACUGGCCCAGGUCGGAAACAGAGCAGGUCAAAACUCCCAUGCUGAUCAGAACCAGGCAUCUAAAUUAAUAAAUCUCAGAGUUAGGAAACAGAAAACCCUUCUCU
rnacentral:SRP_RNA from 1 species